rnacentral:rRNA from 1 species
AACGAACGCUGGCGGCAUGCCUAACACAUGCAAGUCGAACGAGACCUUCGGGUCUAGUGGCGCACGGGUGCGUAACGCGUGGGAACCUGCCCUUAGGUUCGGAAUAACUCAGAGAAAUUUGAGCUAAUACCGGAUGAUGUCUUCGGACCAAAGAUUUAUCGCCUUUAGAUGGGCCCGCGUUGGAUUAGCUAGUUGGUGGGGUAAAGGCCUGCCAAGGCGACGAUCCAUAGCUGGUCUGAGAGGAUGAUCAGCCACACUGGGACUGAGACACGGCCCAGACUCCUACGGGAGGCAGCAGUGGGGAAUAUUGGACAAUGGGCGAAAGCCUGAUCCAGCAAUGCCGCGUGAGUGAUGAAGGCCUUAGGGUUGUAAAGCUCUUUUACCCGAGAUGAUAAUGACAGUAUCGGGAGAAUAAGCUCCGGCUAACUCCGUG